UUGGAGGGCAAGUCUGGUGCCAGCAGCCGCGGUAAUUCCAGCUCCAAUAGCGUAUAUUAAAGUUGUUGUGGUUAAAAAGCUCGUAGUUGAACCUUGGGCCUGGCUGGCCGGUCCGCCUCACCGCGUGCACUGGUCCGGCCGGGCCUUUCCCUCUGUGGAACCCCAUACCCUUCACUGGGCGUGGCGGGGAAACAGGACAUUUACUUUGAAAAAAUUAGAGUGCUCCAGGCAGGCCUAUGCUCGAAUACAUUAGCAUGGAAUAAUAAAAUAGGACGCGCGG
rnacentral:rRNA from 1 species